GAGGUUGUGCCCUUGAGGCGUGGCUUCCGGAGCUAACGCGUUAAAUCGACCGCCUGGGGAGUACGGCCGCAAGGUUAAAACUCAAAUGAAUUGACGGGGGCCCGCACAAGCGGUGGAGCAUGUGGUUUAAUUCGAUGCAACGCGAAGAACCUUACCUACUCUUGACAUCCAGAGAACUUAGCAGAGAUGCUUUGGUGCCUUCGGGAACUCUGAGACAGGUGCUGCAUGGCUGUCGUCAGCUCGUGUUGUGAAAUGUUGGGUUAAGUCCCGCAACGAGCGCAACCCUUAUCCUUUGUUGCCAGCGGUUCGGCCGGGAACUCAAAGGAGACUGCCAGUGAUAAACUGGAGGAAGGUGGGGAUGACGUCAAGUCAUCAUGGCCCUUACGAGUAGGGCUACACACGUGCUACAAUGGCAUAUACAAAGAGAAGCGACCUCGCGAGAGCAAGCGGACCUCAUAAAGUAUGUCGUAGUCCGGAUUGGAGUCUGCAACUCGACUCCAUGAAGUCGGAAUCGCUAGUAAUCGUAGAUCAGAAUGCUACGGUGAAUACGUUCCCGGGCCUUGUACACACCGCCCGUCACACCAUGGGAGUGGGUUGCAAAAGAAGUAGGUAGCUUAACCUUCGGGAGGGCGCUUACCACUUUGUGAUUCAUGACUGGGGUGAAGUCGUAACAAGGUA
rnacentral:rRNA from 1 species